AUGAUUUCUUCCACUUUCAAAGAAUCUUUUUAUUAUGCUUAAUGAACACAGUAAAAACGAAAAGUUUGUAAUGAUUCAAACAUUUUUUCCAUAAGCUCUAUUUCUACCAGACAUUUUAUAAUUGUAAUAUAAAAAAUGAGAAUAUGUCAUAGUAUCUUAGAAAAAUGUGAAAAGUGUUAGUUUACUAUUCUCUUAUUUGUAAGCAAUACCAAUAUAGCAUGCACAUAACGACUUUGUACUUUGUCCAGAAGAAAAAUUGGUUAAAUACUUAUAUGAGGUUAACCAAUGUUUCUACCAAAACCUAAAGAAAAUAGCCGGAAUAGUAAUUAUGGCUAAGCAAUUGUUUUGGUUUUGGUUUUUCUUCCCAGUAAAUCAGGUUUGGAAGCAUUAUCUCAUCAUGUAACUAGAAAACGAAACUUUGGUGGUUAUAGGACAUUUUACCUCGUAACUCUCCAUCAAAAGUUUUCGCUAGUAAAAACAAGUAGAGAAUAUUAGUAAGUGUUAGCAUAGAAAGUUUUAUGAUUAUUGUUCAGACACUAUUUAUAUAAAGAUUCAACGAAUAUGAGCGAAAAAAGUAUAUGAUAGGUAUAUGUUCUGACUAGGGUAGAAUAAUGAUGUAAAAAUAGAGAAGUCUAUAUCUUGAACAGAAGGCAAGGUUUUUGACAGUGUUAUUAAAAGUAGUUUCACUAAUUGAAUGGGGUUAAUAAAUUGUCUAAUUAUAGGCUAUUCAUAAUUUAACGUUUACAUCUCAAUUCGACUUACUAUUAAGCAUUGAUUGCAAAUUACAUUUUGUUUUAUAAAUUAUCGCAGCCUUUCAAUAACUAUUAAUUUCAAAAUAAAAAGUAGCUUAUAAAAAAAUUGUUUAUUUAAUUAAAUAUACGUUAAAUACAUAUAAACAUUGUG